GUAUUAUGACCUAAUGACAGAGAUUAAAAAGGCGGAGGAUAGGGAAUAAGUCGAGGAAAUGGAAAAGGGGGAAAGAGGAAAUUGAUAAAGAAGAGAUGAGAGAGGGAGGAUGAAAUAAGCGCUUUGGGGGAGAGAAAGACGUUGGUUGGAAAUUGUCGGAAUAUGAAGAGAAAUUGAAGAUGAUGUAGGGUAGAUAGAUAGAUAGAUAGGUUGGUAGAUAUAGAUGAUAGUUUGAUAAAUAGAUAAUGAGAGAGAGAGAGAGAGAGAGAGAGAGAGAGAGAGAGAGAGAGAGAGAGAGAAAGAGA